AGAGGGAGGAGUUAAGGAGACAGACAGAGAGAGAGAGAGAUCUGAGGAGAAGAGGGAGAACCAAAAUGGAGGCUGACGUGGUGUUAUCAAAGGAUAUGUGCAAGAUGAGAGCCAGCCAUCGUCUCCUGAUAGUGGAGAUUUGAUCUGAAGCAUUCAAAUAGGAAAUGAAUGCUCAGAGGAAGCUUCAAAUUUCUUUCUACUUGAAGAAGCUGAAUUGCAGAAGCUAUCUCUGUCCUGUUAAUCACCGGGUCCACAGUGAAACCAGCCAACUUCAGAGAAGACUCUUGUGCUGCGUGACCCCUGACUGUAACCAAGUGUCCUUCUCUCUGAGACGUUCCCUCGGAGCUUGUUCUCACAGCCCUCACCUCCAGUGACCUCCACGAACUUUUCCACACGAGGGGUUCUCUGCUUCCCUCCAUCUGAGCUGCGCAAUUCCACCAGGCCUUUUGCUCCUCUUCAGUCAGGUGCUUUGGAGGUAAUGAAGUCUUUCGGGGGAAAAAUAAACAAAGGAAAUGCACCCGGUUGAUGUCAAUGGACUUGUUUAACUAUUUAAGGCCACUGUCUCCAAGUGUAAGUGUGCUGCGGUGUGUUUUGUAAAGUAGCGCUUAUAAUCCACUGAGCUUUCCAAACAGCCCUCUUGCCUAUUAAGCCUGCAUUGAGAAGUGGGUUUAAUUUGCCAGAGUAGUUUUUUGUGAUAAUUACAGGACUUGCAGAUUAGCUUGAGUGACUUGGCAAGGUUCUGUAGCUAAUAAAAAAUCACACAGGAAAAAAAUUGUAACAUUCAAUUGCUUCAAGGUUCUUCACGAGAGAAACAUUAAACAAACCUGAUAGGCCAGUUUCCAGUCUGUGAAGGGACUUGGAGGCAAGCCGGGAGAGAGGGAGGAGAAAGAGAUCGCCAUGAUGGGGAAGAAGGAAGAGGAGACCUAAAGGCCAGCUGACAUGACUUUGGGUCCCUAACCUGCAACUCAGCACUCAGUCCAUCAUGGGCUUUGCUAGUCUCUGUGACUUCUCCAGGGCAGGAAAGUGACAGGUUUCUGCGCAAGGGAGCCCGAGGUACCUGGUUCAGGAUGGAGAGGGCACUUGAGAGGCGUCAAAAGCAAGCACAGUUAGAGGACAUCAGCGAUGUUAAAACCCCACGAGGGUCAACAGUAGCCCAGGCAAAAUAAAGGAGCCUGAAGUGGAAAAACAGAAAUGGAACAAGACGUUUGUUCUGGAGCACGUGAGAUUGUCCUUCUAAGACAUUUCCAGAAGUAUUCAAAGGAAGAUUUAAUGGGAAAUCAUUAUGCAAAAGAGUCAGUAAUAUAUUUUAGUUUCAAAAAGUACGGAGCGUGACGCCUGUCAAUUAUACCUUCUGCAAAGGUGAGUGGCGGUUGUCCUUGCUGUUCCAAAAUGCAAAGAGAAACAAACAAACAAACAAACAAGCAAACCAGCUACUCCUAUUCCGCACUCCAAACACCAAGCAGAAAUGCUUCUGGGACAAACUGAGCUUCAUUCUUUAUGAAAAUGAAAACACUUCUUUCUGUGCACUAGGAAAAUGUUCUGCCUCUGAGCUGCAAAACCAGCACCAAACUUGAAAAGUUUGUGCAUCAAAGGAAAAAGGCAACCUACAGGAUGGGGGAGAAUAUUUGCAGGACACAUGUCCUGGAAGGAAUACAUAUUUAGACUGAAUAAAAUGAGUAAGAGGAGGGAUAGGGAGUUCGUGUUCAAUGUUGAGAGCUUGGGACAGUUGAGAAAACGCUCCGGAGUGUUCUGCAGAUGAAUGAUGGUGACGACUGCAUCAGUGUGAAUGUCCUUAACGCCGUCAAAAAUUGGUUAUAAUGGCAAAUUUUAUGCUACAUAUGUUUUACUACAAUAAAAAUGCCAGGAAAAUCUAACUGCUCCAAAUCCUGAAUUUAUUAACCCAAUAAAUUAGGAGAUGGUUAUUGACCUAUAAAUGGAUUUGUCAAUUUUUAAAAUGAUUUCCUUUAAAUUGAAUUCUUUCCUAGAGCUUUAUUGUCUCUUCACAAACCAUUAAACACUUGUUAAAGUGUUCAGAGAGGGCUGAGAUGGAGGAGGAAGUGAAAACCAAACAAACAGAUGAGGGACCUUCCCCAAAUGAUGUCUGCUAACAGGCUUCUUGGGUAUUCUAUUUAUAUAGAUUUUACAAGUGUUUUAUUUGAGAGGAAAAAUCCCUAGACCUUACAUAGUACAAUGAACUUCUUAUGCCUGUCAGCUAGAUUUAUUAAUUUUUAACGAGGUGUAUUACUUUUAAAAGCUAUCUAUUUACUAUUGGGGGAGGGAGAAGGACAAAGGACAUCUUGCAGAAGUCUGGUCUCUCCUGCUAUGUGGGUUCUGGAGAUAGGAAAUCAGGCAGGUUGUCAGGCCUAGAAGCAAAGGCCUGUCUGCACUGAGCCAUCUUACUUGUCUUAUUUUGUUACUUUUGAUGACCUAUUUUAGACAUCACUAUUCUAUAGCCCUAAGUAUAACUUCAAGUAUGUAUCUUCCACAAUGACUUUAUGACCAUGAAAUCAAUUCAAGAAAUUUAACAUGUAUGCAGUUCUAUCCAGCGUACAUACAGAUUUCUCAUCCCCCCUUUUACUGUAGUUUAUAGAAAAAGCAAUUCUCUUCCAUAUCUAGAGUUUGACAAGGAAUAUGCAUUGCAUUUGGUUUCUGUGUUCUUUAAUCUCUUGUUGUACAGAACUUCAACCUUUCAUGACAGGUUGAACAAUUUUGGAUCAUACAGGCUGUCAUGGUUUGAAUAUGUUUGGCCCAGGGAGUGGUACUGUUAGGGGUGUGGUCUUCUUGGAAUAGGUGUGUCACCGUGGGCGUGGGCUUUAAGACCCUCAUCCUUAGCUUCUGGAAGUCAGUCUUCCACUAGCAACCUUCAGAUGAAGAUGUAGAACUCUCACCAUCUCCUGCACUAUACCUGCCUGGAUAUCGCCAUGUUCCUGCCUUGAUGAUUAUGGACUGAACCUCUGAACCUGUAAGCCAGCCCCAAUUAAAUUUGUCCUUAUAAGAGUUACCUUGGUCAUGGUGUCUGUUCACAGCAGUAAAACCCUAACUAAGACACAGGCCAAUUACAGAAUGUCUCUUUUUGGUGUGUGCAGUGUUAAAGUUUGAAGCACAAGCCUAAUGCUUGUUAGACAAGCACUCUACCGCUGCUCUACAUCAGCAGCUCAGUGUGCCUCUUGUCUUGAUGGGCUCAUUGUUUUUUAUGACCCAGUGCAUUGGGGUGAGCAGCUCACACAGGUACGAAGGGGUCCCUCUCAGAGCUUAACAUCAGGGAACUCAAUGUUGGUUUGUCUGUUCUAUUUCAGCUGAGCUAGUAUCUGGCAGUUCCCCACAACCCCCAUCAAGUUACCACUUUUUUCUUUGUAAUUGUAAUUUGCAAAGAAAUAUUUGCAAGAUUAAGUAAUAGACUACACAACGUGUUUUAGCUUCCACUGAGCAUUCAGCCUGAACUGUUUUAUAAAGUUAUGAAAUGAUAGAUUUCCAACUUAAUAAUUAUUUUAAAGACUUAUUUUAUUUUUAGUUCUGCAUGUAUGCCUGUGUGUGCACGUGUGUACCUAUGUAUCUGUAUGGUUAUGUGCACAUGAAUGCAGAUGUCCAAGGAGAAGAGGCCAGACACAUUGGAUCCCUGGUGCUCAAGUGGGAGGUGGCUGUCAGCUGCUGUAGGAAGGUGAUGGGAACUCAGCUUGAGUCCUUUGCAAGAACAGCAUGAGCUCUUAAACACAGAGCCACAUCUUCAGUCCCUCUCUUAUUUUUUUAAAAAUUAUUCUCUCUCUGUGUAUGUGUGUGUAUACAGAGGUCAGAGGAUCAUUUUUGUAAAAUUAGUUCUCUCUACCUUUUUUUGUGGGCUCUGGGGACUAAACUCAAGUUGUUGGGAUUUUGUGACAAGUGCUGUAUCCACUGAGCCCUCUCACAUGCCCUUAAAUGUUAUUUUAAAUAAUAGCAAAUGAGUACGUUCAAGCAUACGAGAAUAAGCAUGUCCUAUUGAUUUGAAUAUGCAAAAGUAUGCCAAUUUUUUAAAUCUCUAUUACCAAGUGGACAAGUAUUCCAUUUUAUCUCCAAAAGUAAAGAUUUCUUUUAGAUACAGUCAUGUGGAUUAUACAACUUGACUGAAGCCAUGUCUCCAAGAUACAUACCUAGAGGGUAAAGGGAAUGCUUUAAAGGAGCGUGAUUAUGAAUAUCCAAGCUGAAAAUAAACACUAAUUACUAACAAAAAGGAUUACUGAGAAAAAUAUGGGUUGGUUUUCAGUACUUGACUCUGUAAAGUUAUUUCUUUUCUUAUUUAGUUUUUAUUCAUAAUCAUAAACUUAACUUUGCCAUCCAGCUAGACUUGAAGGGGAAUGAGGAAAAUAUGGAACCCAAAGAACUUGAGCAGAGAUUACAGGGUAUUUCAAGCAGAUGGGGUAGGGAUGCUCUCCUGCGCUACAGAAGGAAUGGUUGGAUGGGUAAAAUGCCUGCAAGUCAAAAGAAAUUAGAGUUAUCCACAGUCGGAAAUGGUCUUGCUGGUCUUUCCAUUCCUGGACCCAAAACACUCCAUGGCUUCCACAAUGUUCAUGCCUUCUUUCACCUUCCCAGACACCACAUGCUUGCCAUCCAGCCACUUAGUCUUGGCAGUGCAGAUAAAAAACUGGGAACCGUUUGUGUUGGUCCAGUAUUUGCCAUGGACAAGAUGCCAGGACCUGUAUGCUUCAGGAUGAAGAUCUCAUCCUCAAAUUUCUCUCCAUAGAUGGAUCUGCCGCCAGUGCCAUUAUGGCAUGUAAAGUCACCACCCUGGCACAUGAAUCCUGGAAUAAUUCUGUGAAAGGAGGAACCCUUCUAGUAAAAUCCUUUCUCUCCAGUGCUCAGAGCAUGAAAGUUUCCCGCUGUCUUUGGAACUUUGUCUGCAAACAGCUGGAAGGAGACUCUUCAAGGGCUCGUCAUCGGCCGUGAUGUCAGAGAACACGGUGGGGUCGACUGUGGCUACAGCAAGAGGACCAACGGUACUGUUGCUCUAGCUACAGGAAUAAUCCUGGGCAGCACUUGUUGACCUUGGUCACUGUCAAGGGAAGAUCGGCUGUUCCCACUGAGGGCAUCUUGAUGGAUUAAGGUGAUCAGCUGAUCAAUGUGAGGGGACAGAUGGGAGCUAGGAACUGUCUCGGUACUGAGUCAUUUUUCAUCUAAUGUGCAAGAAACCCAAAGAGCACAUCAAACAGCGAACUACGCCUAAGCUAUCCAUGUUUCUCCUGCUUCUUCUGAGAGGGUGAUUUACACGUAGCUCAACACUCGAGUGUUGCAGUAUCGAGUGACUGCAACCAAACAAUGGAACAUGCAUCGUGCCUGUUGACAGAGCCUGCAGUUGGCUUGGAACCGGGACCAUGCUGCAUUCGACAUCGUUCCUGGUGGCUGACUUGUUCCCAUAGAAUUAAAUGCUAGGCAUCCAGAAGCUGACUGUGCAUCUGAUGGGCUCACUAACAUUCAGGAACAGGUUGGCCUCAGACUUCAUCAAUGGAAAG
rnacentral:lncRNA from 1 species